UUUCCGUAGGUGAACCUGCGGAAGGAUCAUUACCGAGUGAGGGCCCUCUGGGUCCAACCUCCCACCCGUGUUUAUCGUACCUUGUUGCUUCGGCGGGCCCGCCUCACGGCCGCCGGUGGGCACCCGCCCCCGGGCCCGCGCCCGCCGAAGACACCAUUGAACGCUGUCUGAAGAUUGCAGUCUGAGCAUCUUAGCUAAAUCAGUUAAAACUUUCAACAACGGAUCUCUUGGUUCCG
rnacentral:misc_RNA from 1 species